CCUGCUCAGACGAUCGCUUGGGCUGACUGAACAGUCCCAACUAAAACAACACAUUAUAGGCACAUAGAAGAAGCAUAGAUGAGCGGGAAGCGGAAAACCUCAUUAUGGCACCGAUGGGGAUGGGCUGUCAUAAUAGGCUAAUGCUUUGCUGUAUAGUGUUGGACAGAACACACAGAGUCAUCUCAUUAACAUUGGAAGAAAAACACCACUAGAGGUCCCCAUACCACUGGCCCAUAAUCCUGCCUGGCUGCAGCAUCAUCUUUGUCCACAGGCUGGGACAAAGUUUAAGUUUAAGUGAGGGUGGUACUAGCACUCCUCUGUGCUCACUCCUGUCCUAUCAGACUGCAUCAUGAAAACAGAGAGGAAAGGGUUAUAGAGCAGCCUGCAGUGAUUGGAUGAAGAGAUCCAGCACUCAGGGCAGAAGCUGAGUCAUGCAGAGCGAGGACAUGCCCCCUUCAUAGCACAGAAUGACAAAACAAGUGAGCAACAGAUAGCAGGUAUUUGUGAGAGAAAUAAAGGUGCUAGACACAUAACAGUUAUAUGAUUAGGAAAUGAGUAACAUAUAUAUUUUUUUGAGGGAUAUGAAAGUUAUUAUACAAAAAAUAUACAGCUAAAACUUUGCAUGGACAUAAGAAUUCAUACAAAAUUUGAUAUGACACAUCUCAAAAAUGAUCUCCUGAUGGAUCUUUUGGAUAUUUUCCUAUCAUUUUAUUUGCUAUAUCUAUAAUGGUCCAGCAUUAAAAUGUUCCCCCCUCAGCUCUAAACCAUGGGAUGCUCCCUAGAGGUUGCUGACACUUGUCCUCAAUGUUGUCAGAUCCUACAAUGACGAUCUGCUCAAAAUUGGUCAUUAAGAGACCAUAUAACUCAAUAGUCAG